rnacentral:rRNA from 1 species
UACGACGGUGGCAAGCGUUGUUCGGAUUUACUGGGCGUACAGGGAGCGUAGGCGGUUGGGUAAGCCCCUUCGUGAAAUCUCCGGGCCUAACCCGGAAAGUGCGGAGGGGACUGCUCGGCUAGAGGAUGGGAGAGGAGCGCGGAAUUCCCGGUGUAGCGGUGAAAUGCGUAGAGAUCGGGAGGAAGGCCGGUGGCGAAGGCGGCGCUCUGGAACAUUUCUGACGCUGAGGCUCGAAAGCGUGGGGAGCAAACAGGG